rnacentral:rRNA from 1 species
AACGAACGCUGGCGGCAUGCCUAACACAUGCAAGUCGAACGAGACCUUCGGGUCUAUUGGCGCACGGGUUCGUAACGCGUGGGAACCUUCCCUUAGGUUCGGAAUAACUCCCCGAAAGGUGUGCUAAUACCGGUUAAUGUCUUCUGACCAAAGAUUUAUCGCCUUUGGAUGGUCCCGCGUUGGAUUAGCUAGUUGUUAGGGUAAAAGCCUACCAAGGCGACGAUCCAUAGCUGGUCUGAGAGGAUGAUCAGCCACACUGGGAAUGAGACACGGCACAGACUACGACGGGAGGGAGCAGUGGGGAAUAUUGGAAAAUGGGCGAAAGCCUGAUACAGCAAUGACGGGUGAGUGAUGAAGGGAUUAGGGUUGUAAAGCUCUUUUAAAAGGGAUGAUAAUGACAGUACCGGGAGAAUAAGCUCCGGCUAACUCCGUG